CAUCCAGGCUGAGGGCGGCCAGAGGGCAUGUGGGACCCCACAAGGGCGCCGCCGCCGGUGCUCGCGGGCCGCGGGUGAAGAGGAGAGUACGGCCUCACUCAACCCAGAGCAGAGAGGUGGCCCGGAGCGAAGAGAGGUUCCGGAGCGAAGAGGAGGUGCUGAGCGAAGAGGAGAUGCUGAGCGAACAGGUGGCCCGUAACGAACAGAUA
rnacentral:other from 1 species